ACGGGGAGCAGCAGGCGCGAAACCCUUACACUGCACGCCRGUGCGAUAAGGGGACCCCGAGUGCGAGGGCAUACAGUCCUCGCUUUUCGUGACCGUAAGAAGGUCUCAGAAUAAGAGCUGGGCAAGACCGGUGCCAGCCGCCGCGGUAAUACCGGCAGCACGAGUGAUAGCCACUAUUAUUGGGCCUAAAGCGUCCGUAGCCGGCUACACAGGUCCGUCGGGAAAUCCACCCGCUCAACGGGUGGGCGUCCGGCGGAAACCAGGUAGCUUGGGGCCGGAAGACCAGAGGGGUACGUCCGGGGUAGGAGUGAAAUCCCGUAAUCCUGGACGGACCACCGGUUGCGAAAGCGCCUCUGGAGAACGGACCCGACGGUGAGGGACGAAAGCUAGGGUCUCGAACCGGAUUAGAUACCCGGGUAGUCCAAGCUGUAAACGAUGCUCGCUAGGUGUGGCACUGGCUACGAGCCAGUGCUGUGCCGUAGGGAAGCCGAGAAGCGAGCCGCCUGGGAAGUACGUCCGCGAGGAUGAAACUUAAAGGAAUUGGCGGGGGAGCAC
rnacentral:rRNA from 1 species